rnacentral:rRNA from 1 species
GACGAACGCUGGCGGCGUGCCUAAUACAUGCAAGUCGAACGAGAAUUUUUUACACCGAGUGCUUGCACUCACCGUAAGAAAUUCGAGUGGCGGACGGGUGAGUAACACGUGGGUAACCUGCCCAAAAGAAGGGGAUAACAUUUGGAAACAAAUGCUAAUACCGUAUAACCAUGAUGACCGCAUGGUCAUUAUGUAAAAGGUGGUUUUGCUAUCGCUUUUGGAUGGACCCGCGGCGUAUUAACUAGUUGGUAGGGUAACGGCCUACCAAGGUGAUGAUACGUAGCCGAGUUGAGGGACUGAUCGGCCACAAUGGGACUGAGACACGGCCCAUACUCCUACGGGAGGCAGCAGUAGGGAAUCUUCCACAAUGGGCGCAAGCCUGAUGGAGCAACGCCGCGUGAAUGAAGAAGGUCUUCGGAUCGUAAAAUUCUGUUGUUAGAGAAGAAUAUGAGUAAUAGUAACUGAUUAUUCACUGACGGUAUCUAACCAGCAAGUCACGGCUAACUACGUGCCAGCCGCCGCCGUAA